GAAAGCUAGGGGGGCGAAUGGGAUUAGAUACCCCAGUAGUCCUAGCCGUAAACAAUGGAUACUAGGCGUUGUGCGUAUCGCCCCGUGCAGUGCUGUACAUAACGGGUAUACACUAUACAAUCAAAUCUAAUUUUUUUUUU
rnacentral:rRNA from 1 species